GCAAGGAAUUUUGUGCAAUGGGCGAAAGCCUGACACAGCGACGCCGCGUGAGGGAUGAAGGCCUUCGGGUUGUAAACCUCUUUUCUCAGGGAUGAAUAAUGACAGUACCUGAGGAAUAAGUCACGGCUAACUACGUGCCAGCAGCCGCGGUAAUACGUAGGUGGCGAGCGUUAUCCGGAUUUACUGGGCGUAAAGUGAGCGCAGACGGUCUUUCAAGUCAGAUGUAAAAUCUCUCGGCUCAACCGGGUGGAUGCAUUUGAUACUGUUAGACUUGAGGACAACAAGGGGAGGUAGAAUUCCCGGUGUAGUGGUGGAAUGCGUAGAUAUCGGGAGGAAUACCAGUGGCGAAGGCGGCCUCCUGGGUUGUUUCUGACGUUCAUGCUCGAAGGAGUGGGGAGCAAACAGGAUUAGAAACCCUGGUAGUCC
rnacentral:rRNA from 1 species